UACGAAGGGGGCUAGCGUUGCUCGGAAUCACUGGGCGUAAAGGGUGCGUAGGCGGGUCUUUAAGUCAGGGGUGAAAUCCUGGAGCUCAACUCCAGAACUGCCUUUGAUACUGAGGAUCUUGAGUUCGGGAGAGGUGAGUGGAACUGCGAGUGUAGAGGUGAAAUUCGUAGAUAUUCGCAAGAACACCAGUGGCGAAGGCGGCUCACUGGCCCGGUACUGACGCUGAGGUGCGUAAGCGUGGGGAGCAAACAGG
rnacentral:rRNA from 1 species